GGGUUGUGAGGUUAAGCGACUAAGCGUACACGGUGGAUGCCCUGGCAGUCAGAGGCGAUGAAGGACGUGCUAAUCUGCGAUAAGCGUCGGUAAGGUGAUAUGAACCGUUAUAACCGGCGAUUUCCGAAUGGGGAAACCCAGUGUGAUUCGUCACACUAUCAUUAACUGAAUCCAUAGGUUAAUGAGGCGAACCGGGGGAACUGAAACAUCUAAGUACCCCGAGGAAAAGAAAUCAACCGAGAUUCCCCCAGUAGCGGCGAGCGAACGGGGAGCAGCCCAGAGCCUGAAUCAGUGUGUGUGUUAGUGGAAGCGUCUGGAAAGGCGCGCGAUACAGGGUGACAGCCCCGUACACAAAAAUGCACAUACUGUGAGCUCGAUGAGUAGGGCGGGACACGUGGUAUCCUGUCUGAAUAUGGGGGGACCAUCCUCCAAGGCUAAAUACUCCUGACUGACCGAUAGUGAACCAGUACCGUGAGGGAAAGGCGAAAAGAACCCCGGCGAGGGGAGUGAAAAAGAACCUGAAACCGUGUACGUACAAGCAGUGGGAGCACGCUUAGGCGUGUGACUGCGUACCUUUUGUAUAAUGGGUCAGCGACUUAUAUUCUGUAGCAAGGUUAACCGAAUAGGGGAGCCGAAGGGAAACCGAGUCUUAACUGGGCGUUAAGUUGCAGGGUAUAGACCCGAAACCCGGUGAUCUAGCCAUGGGCAGGUUGAAGGUUGGGUAACACUAACUGGAGGACCGAACCGACUAAUGUUGAAAAAUUAGCGGAUGACUUGUGGCUGGGGGUGAAAGGCCAAUCAAACCGGGAGAUAGCUGGUUCUCCCCGAAAGCUAUUUAGGUAGCGCCUCGUGAAUUCAUCUCCGGGGGUAGAGCACUGUUUCGGCAAGGGGGUCAUCCCGACUUACCAACCCGAUGCAAACUGCGAAUACCGGAGAAUGUUAUCACGGGAGACACACGGCGGGUGCUAACGUCCGUCGUGAAGAGGGAAACAACCCAGACCGCCAGCUAAGGUCCCAAAGUCAUGGUUAAGUGGGAAACGAUGUGGGAAGGCCCAGACAGCCAGGAUGUUGGCUUAGAAGCAGCCAUCAUUUAAAGAAAGCGUAAUAGCUCACUGGUCGAGUCGGCCUGCGCGGAAGAUGUAACGGGGCUAAACCAUGCACCGAAGCUGCGGCAGCGACGCUUAUGUGUUGUUGGGUAGGGGAGCGUUCUGUAAGCCUGUGAAGGUGUGCUGUGAGGUAUGCUGGAGGUAUCAGAAGUGCGAAUGCUGACAUAAGUAACGAUAAAGCGGGUGAAAAGCCCGCUCGCCGGAAGACCAAGGGUUCCUGUCCAACGUUAAUCGGGGCAGGGUGAGUCGACCCCUAAGGCGAGGCCGAAAGGCGUAGUCGAUGGGAAACAGGUUAAUAUUCCUGUACUUGGUGUUACUGCGAAGGGGGGACGGAGAAGGCUAUGUUGGCCGGGCGACGGUUGUCCCGGUUUAAGCGUGUAGGCUGGUUUUCCAGGCAAAUCCGGAAAACUAAGGCUGAGGCGUGAUGACGAGGCACUACGGUGCUGAAGCAACAAAUGCCCUGCUUCCAGGAAAAGCCUCUAAGCAUCAGGUAACAUCAAAUCGUACCCCAAACCGACACAGGUGGUCAGGUAGAGAAUACCAAGGCGCUUGAGAGAACUCGGGUGAAGGAACUAGGCAAAAUGGUGCCGUAACUUCGGGAGAAGGCACGCUGAUAUGUAGGUGAAGUCCCUCGCGGAUGGAGCUGAAAUCAGUCGAAGAUACCAGCUGGCUGCAACUGUUUAUUAAAAACACAGCACUGUGCAAACACGAAAGUGGACGUAUACGGUGUGACGCCUGCCCGGUGCCGGAAGGUUAAUUGAUGGGGUCAGCGCAAGCGAAGCUCUUGAUCGAAGCCCCGGUAAACGGCGGCCGUAACUAUAACGGUCCUAAGGUAGCGAAAUUCCUUGUCGGGUAAGUUCCGACCUGCACGAAUGGCGUAAUGAUGGCCAGGCUGUCUCCACCCGAGACUCAGUGAAAUUGAACUCGCUGUGAAGAUGCAGUGUACCCGCGGCAAGACGGAAAGACCCCGUGAACCUUUACUAUAGCUUGACACUGAACAUUGAGCCUUGAUGUGUAGGAUAGGUGGGAGGCUUUGAAGUGUGGACGCCAGUCUGCAUGGAGCCGACCUUGAAAUACCACCCUUUAAUGUUUGAUGUUCUAACGUUGACCCGUAAUCCGGGUUGCGGACAGUGUCUGGUGGGUAGUUUGACUGGGGCGGUCUCCUCCUAAAGAGUAACGGAGGAGCACGAAGGUUGGCUAAUCCUGGUCGGACAUCAGGAGGUUAGUGCAAUGGCAUAAGCCAGCUUGACUGCGAGCGUGACGGCGCGAGCAGGUGCGAAAGCAGGUCAUAGUGAUCCGGUGGUUCUGAAUGGAAGGGCCAUCGCUCAACGGAUAAAAGGUACUCCGGGGAUAACAGGCUGAUACCGCCCAAGAGUUCAUAUCGACGGCGGUGUUUGGCACCUCGAUGUCGGCUCAUCACAUCCUGGGGCUGAAGUAGGUCCCAAGGGUAUGGCUGUUCGCCAUUUAAAGUGGUACGCGAGCUGGGUUUAGAACGUCGUGAGACAGUUCGGUCCCUAUCUGCCGUGGGCGCUGGAGAACUGAGGGGGGCUGCUCCUAGUACGAGAGGACCGGAGUGGACGCAUCACUGGUGUUCGGGUUGUCAUGCCAAUGGCACUGCCCGGUAGCUAAAUGCGGAAGAGAUAAGUGCUGAAAGCAUCUAAGCACGAAACUUGCCCCGAGAUGAGUUCUCCCUGACUCCUUGAGAGUCCUGAAGGAACGUUGAAGACGACGACGUUGAUAGGCCGGGUGUGUAAGCGCAGCGAUGCGUUGAGCUAACCGGUACUAAUG
rnacentral:rRNA from 1 species